rnacentral:lncRNA from 1 species
AAUUAUUUGUUCCUCACGUGUAUAUAUAUUCUCACACACACACACACACAUACACACACACACACAUUGUUUCAUUUCCUCACAUUUCCUGUAGUAACAGUCUAUUGUUUAAUUCCCUUAGUUUAAAACUUUCCUUUCCUAACUUGAUUUGUCAAUAAAAUCUUCAUCUCGCAAGAAAUUAAUGGCAUCUAGCUCGAUAUCAUCCUGUGGAACUGGGACUGCUCAGGAGAACAAGGCCUUUGAGAAAGCCCUGUCUGCGCAUGACACUGACACGCCUGACUGUUGGGCCAAAGUUGCUAGGAGGAAAAACUCCAGAAGAAGCAAAGAGGCGUUAUGAAAUUCUUGUGGAAGAUAUUAAAUACAUUGAGAGUGACCACGUCCUCCCCACACGACAUGGCCUUUGGUAAGUUGAGGAGCCUGUAGGAAUUGAAAGGAGCCAAAAUUUUGCCAAUCCUUUCCCAAAUUUACAUAAAUGCUCCAUGUUGAAAUCAAAGAGAAGAUUAAAGCGGAAAUGUACCUUGAUCUAUAAUUGUUAGUAUUCUAAACGAGUUAAGAUCGUUUAAUGGUUAGGUGAUUUCUUGAAAUAUUCUUCUAUGUUGAUGGAGAUGUAGAGAAUUGUGAAUUCACAUAUAAUUGGGGACCAUGACCCCAUAAUAAAUAACUUCAAUUUGGUAGUUAUUAAUUUUGUGUUAUUUCAAAUUGGCCCUAAUCAAUUUAAAAUAACAUCUUCCGGACUCUACACUUCAUUCCCAUGACAUUUAAUACCCAUUAAUCCAAAAUUAGACUUAAUGAAUCACUUUAUCGACUAAACUUUAAAAUUUGCACCACACAUUUUUAAUAUAUAAACAUGUGUGGUCCCAUACGUUGGAAUUUUUUCAACAAUAUCCCACUGGGCCAUGCAUGUAAUAUUACAAAUGUGCUCAGCCGUAUGAGCUCAAAAAUUCUGCUAUCAUUAUUGGGGGUAUUUCUAAACAAUCUUGUCCAUCAGUUAUAUUGAUGUAGGAUCAAAGCGAUUUUCGCCACAAUUAGCAUGACUAAAUCCAUCAAUGGUCAC